AGGCCACAAUGUAGGUAAUAUAGCAAGCAAGCAGUGACCUAAAAAGUGGUCGGGAAAACCGGACAUGACCAACCCUCACCCGAGCAGCAUGACGACAAAGCAGAUUGCUAAUUGCUCUUCGUAUCUUUUUCUCUGUUUUUUCUCUCUAUAAACAAAGAAACACUACUGGCUAUUUUUUUUAUCUUGCCUUUUUUUGGGUGGGAAAUGUGAAAAGCAGGUCUGGACUGAGUAGGUAGUAUAUUCGCCGGGAUGUUCGGUAGUGCUAUCUUGUGCUCGUACUGAUUAAAAACGAAUUAGCUCUGCUAACUAAUGGUAUCC
rnacentral:lncRNA from 1 species